rnacentral:rRNA from 1 species
AUUGAACGCUGGCGGCAGGCCUAACACAUGCAAGUCGAGCGGCGGCGGAAAGUAGCUUGCUACUUUGCCGGCGAGCGGCGGACGGGUGAGUAAUGUCUGGGAAACUGCCUGAUGGAGGGGGAUAACUACUGGAAACGGUAGCUAAUACCGCAUAACGUCGCAAGACCAAAGAGGGGGACCUUCGGGCCUCUUGCCAUCAGAUGUGCCCAGAUGGGAUUAGCUAGUAGGUGGGGUAACGGCUCACCUAGGCGACGAUCCCUAGCUGGUCUGAGAGGAUGACCAGCCAAACUGGAACUGAGACACGGUCCAGACUCCUACGGGAGGCAGCAGUGGGGAAUAUUGCACAAUGGGCGCAAGCCUGAUGCAGCCAUGCCGCGUGUAUGAAGAAGGCCUUCGGGUUGUAAAGUACUUUCAGCGGGGAGGAAGGUGUUGAGGUUAAUAACCUCAGCAAUUGACGUUACCCGCAGAAGAAGCACCGGCUAACUCCGUGCCAGCCGCCGCAGUAAAAC